rnacentral:rRNA from 1 species
CAGCCGCCACGGUAAUACGGAGGGGGCUAGCGUUGUUCGGAAUUACUGGGCGUAAAGCGCACGUAGGCGGCUUUGUAAGUUAGAGGUGAAAGCCUGGGGCUCAACUCCAGAAUUGCCUUUAAGACUGCAUCGCUUGAACGUCGGAGAGGUGAGUGGAAUUCCGAGUGUAGAGGUGAAAUUCGUAGAUAUUCGCAAGAACACCAGUGGCGAAGGCGGCUCACUGGCCCAUUACUGACGCUGAGGCACGAAAGCGUGGGGAGCAAACAGGAUUAGAUACCCCCGUAGUCCCUGUCUCUUAUAC